rnacentral:sRNA from 1 species
UAAAGGCGGUUGUGGUGGAGUUGAUGGUGGGCAUAAAAUAAAAACCCAUUCGAAUAUGAAUGACAUCAAAACUGGCAACAGUUGUAAGCAAUUGUUAUGAUUUGAUGCGAAUGCUGUAACAAUAUCCAAUUAUUAUGCACUCGAAGUACGAUUCUCUAUUUGCUUUACUAAUUAUGGAGAAAUUGUAAACUGCUGGAGAGCAUUUAAUUCAAUAAAGAAGAUGAUAUGAAAUGUGGAGCCGGUGGUGGAUGAAAAUAGAGCGGAAGUACUUACAUAAAACCAUAGUUCUUCAGUUUUAGUUAGUUUUAUUUAAUAAGCAUAGGUUUGGCUGCUGGAUCGAAAUACAAUCUUGUCUUCACUCUCUCUGCGGUGAAAAAGAGGAUAUCAAAAAUCAGCUUUAAGGACGAGUUUCCUAAGGUCAGACACACAUAUUCUUUCUACUCAAAAACACGGAGCUUAGUACAUACCAAGACUACGAGUAAGACUAAUAGCCUGUUUGCCUAUCUCGAAACGAAUUUUUCGCGUCACCCAAGAGUUUGUUUAAACAGCAAUUCGACCAAAAAGGGAUGGAUGGAUGUAUAAACAGAUUCUUCAAAGUCAA